GCAACAUCCAUGCCCAACAGAGAAAAUGUCAUGUUCUGUCAGGAAUGGUAAUGAUUUGACCAAGGGAGAAGUGCUGCAUCAUUUCCAGUGCUUGGCAUCAAGUGGAGUCCACCCCCAAAGUGGCAAUACAGAUAUGUUGAGUCCACAGAUGGAAGGUGGAAAAGGUUGGAGGACAAAGUUGGGGGCUGACACCACACCAUGCAAGAUGUCAGCUGAAAAGGG
rnacentral:lncRNA from 1 species